GGUCUGUCAAGUCGGAUGUGAAAUCCCCGGGCUCAACCUGGGAACUGCAUUCGAAACUGGCAGGCUAGAGUCUUGUAGAGGGGGGUAGAAUUCCAGGUGUAGCGGUGAAAUGCGUAGAGAUCUGGAGGAAUACCGGUGGCGAAGGCGGCCCCCUGGACAAAGACUGACGCUCAGGUGCGAAAGCGUGGGGAGCAAACAGGAUUAGAUACCCUGGUAGUCCACGCCGUAAACGAUGUCGAUUUGGAGGUUGUGCCCUUGAGGCGUGGCUUCCGGAGCUAACGCGUUAAAUCGACCGCCUGGGGAGUACGGCCGCAAGGUUAAAACUCAAAUGAAUUGACGGGGGCCCGCACAAGCGGUGGAGCAUGUGGUUUAAUUCGAUGCAACGCGAAGAACCUUACCUGGUCUUGACAUCCACAGAACUUUCCAGAGAUGGAUUGGUGCCUUCGGGAACUGUGAGACAGGUGCUGCAUGGCUGUCGUCAGCUCGUGUUGUGAAAUGUUGGGUUAAGUCCCGCAACGAGCGCAACCCUUAUCCUUUGUUGCCAGCGGU
rnacentral:rRNA from 1 species